GGAAAAUGUUCAGACAGGAGCUAUCCCACCUUGACACUCCGGUUCAUUUAUUUGCAUCUUAAGCCAAUAUGUCCAGAGCCUUUGUCUGCAUUUCCACUCAUCUAUUGCUGUCUGAUUAAAAAAAAACAACAACAAAACAAAAAAAUUUUACUGACAAUUCUGAAGCCCACGCCAGGACGGGCAAUGACUCCCC